AGCCUGCUUGCUAGAUCAUAUGGUAGCAGUAUGUUUCUUGUGAGAAACUGCCAAACUGGCUUCCAAAAUGUCUGUACCAUUUUGUAUUUCUUCUGGCAGC
rnacentral:pre_miRNA from 1 species